UUUGUACUCCCUCCGUCCCAAAAUUCUUGUCUUAAAUUUGUCUAAAUACGGAUGUAUCUAGUUACAUUUUAGUGUUAGAUACAUCCGUAUCUAAACAAAUGCAAGACAAGAAUUUUGGGACGGAGGGAAUACUAC
rnacentral:pre_miRNA from 1 species